rnacentral:rRNA from 1 species
UACAGAGGGUGCAAGCGUUAAUCGGAGUUACUGGGCGUAAAGGGCGCGUAGGCGGUUUAAUGGGUGUGAUGUGAAAGCCCCGAGCUUAACUUGGGAAGUGCAUCGCAAACUGUUGAGCUGGAGUACAAGAGAGGGUGGCGGAAUUUCCGGUGUAGCGGUGAAAUGCGUAGAGAUCGGAAGGAACGUCAAUGGCGAAGGCAGCCACCUGGCUUGAUACUGACGCUGAGGCGCGAAAGCGUGGGGAGCGAACAGG